AGGUGCUUGCACCUUUCAAGCGAGUGGCGAACGGGUGAGUAACACGUGGAUAACCUGCCUCAAGGCUGGGGAUAACAUUUGGAAACAGAUGCUAAUACCGAAUAAAACUUAGUAUCGCAUGAUAUCAAGUUAAAAGGCGCUACGGCGUCACCUAGAGAUGGAUCCGCGGUGCAUUAGUUAGUUGGUGGGGUAAAGGCUUACCAAGACGAUGAUGCAUAGCCGAGUUGAGAGACUGAUCGGCCACAUUGGGACUGAGACACGGCCCAAACUCCUACGGGAGGCUGCAGUAGGGAAUCUUCCACAAUGGGCGCAAGCCUGAUGGAGCAACGCCGCGUGUGUGAUGAAGGCUUUCGGGUCGUAAAGCACUGUUGUAUGGGAAGAAAUGCUAAAAUAGGGAAUGAUUUUAGUUUGACGGUACCAUACCAGAAAGGGACGGCUAAAUACGUGCCAGCAGCCGCGGUAAUACGUAUGUCCCGAGCGUUAUCCGGAUUUAUUGGGCGUAAAGCGAGCGCAGACGGUUGAUUAAGUCUGAUGUGAAAGCCCGGAGCUCAACUCCGGAAUGGCAUUGGAAACUGGUUAACUUGAGUGUUGUAGAGGUAAGUGGAACUCCAUGG
rnacentral:rRNA from 1 species